UACGUAGGGCGCAAGCGUUGUCCGGAAUUAUUGGGCGUAAAGAGCUCGUAGGCGGCUUGUCACGUCGGGUGUGAAAGCCCGGGGCUUAACCCCGGGUCUGCAUUCGAUACGGGCUAGCUAGAGUGUGGUAGGGGAGAUCGGAAUUCCUGGUGUAGCGGUGAAAUGCGCAGAUAUCAGGAGGAACACCGGUGGCGAAGGCGGGUCUCUGGGCCGAUAUCGACGCUGAGGAGCGAAAGCGUGGGGAGCGAACAGG
rnacentral:rRNA from 1 species